UACGUAGGCAGCAAGCGUUGUUCGGAGUUACUGGGCGUAAAGGGUGCGUAGGCGGCUUUUUAAGUUUGGUGUGAAAUCUCCCGGCUCAACUGGGAGGGUGCGCCGAAUACUGAGAGGCUAGAGUGUGGGAGAGGAAAGUGGAAUUCCUGGUGUAGCGGAGAAAUGCGUAGAUAUCAGGAGGAACACCGGUGGUGUAAACGGCUUUCUGGACCAUAACUGACGCUGAGGCACGAAAGCGUGGGUAGCAAACAGG
rnacentral:rRNA from 1 species